CCUACGGGAGGCUGCAGUAGGGAAUCUUCCACAAUGGACGAAAGUCUGAUGGAGCGACGCCGCGUGAGUGAAGAAGUGUUUCGGCUCGUAAAGCUCUGUUGGUAGUGAAGAAAGAUAGAGGUAGUAACUGGCCUUUAUUUGACGUUACUUGCUUAGGUAGUCACGGCUAACUACGUGCCAGCAGCCGCGGUAAUACGUAGGUGGAAAACGUUGUCCGGAUGUAUGGGGCGUAAAGCGAGUGCAGGCGGUUCAAUAAGUCUGAUGUGAAAGCCUUCGGGUCAACCGGAGAAUUGCAUCAGAAACUGUUGAACUUGAGUGCAGAAGAGGAGAGUGGAACUCCAGGUGUAGCGGUGGAAUGCGUAGAUAUAUGGAAGAACACCAGUGGCGAAGGCGGCUUUCUGGUCUGUAACUGACGCUGAGGCUCGAAAGCAUGGGUAGCGAACAGGAUUAGAUACCCGGGUAGUC
rnacentral:rRNA from 1 species